UACAGAGGGGGCAAGCGUUGUCCGGAUUUAUUGGGCGUAAAGAGCGUGUAGGCGGCUUGGUAGGUCCGCUGUGAAAACUCGAGGCUCAACCUCGAGAUGUCGGCGGAAACCACUUGGCUAGAGUCCGGAAGAGGAGAGUGGAAUUCCCGGUGUAGCGGUGAAAUGCGCAGAUAUCGGGAAGAACACCUAUGGCGAAGGCAGCUCUCUGGGACGGUACUGACGCUGAGACGCGAAAGCGUGGGGAGCGAACAGG
rnacentral:rRNA from 1 species